rnacentral:rRNA from 1 species
UACGAAGGACCCGAGCGUUAUCCGGAUUUAUUGGGUUUAAAGGGUGCGUAGGCGGACUUGUAAGUCAGUGGUGAAAUCCUGCGGCUUAACUGCAGAACUGCCAUUGAAACUGCUUGUCUUGAGUACAUUUGAAGCGGGCGGAAUGUGUCAUGUAGCGGUGAAAUGCUUAGAUAUGACACAGAACACCGAUUGCGAAGGCAGCUCGCUAAACUGUAACUGACGCUGAGGCACGAAAGCGUGGGUAGCAAACAGG